AAAAAGCUCAAAUUUGAAAUCUGGUACUUUCAGUGCCCGAGUUGUAAUUUGUAGAAUUUGUCUUUGAUUAGGUCCUUGUCUAUGUUCCUUGGAACAGGACGUCAUAGAGGGUGAGAAUCCCGUUUGGCGAGGAUACCUUUUCUCUGUAAGACUUUUUCGAAGAGUCGAGUUGUUUGGGAAUGCAGCUCAAAGUGGGUGGUAAAUUCCAUCUAAAGCUAAAUAUUGGCGAGAGACCGAUAGCGAACAAGUACAGUGAUGGAAAGAUGAAAAGAACUUUGAAAAGAGAGUGAAAAAGUACGUGAAAUUGUUGAAAGGGAAGGGCAUUUGAUCAGACAUGGUGUUUUUUGCAUGCACUCGCCUCUCGUGGGCUUGGGCCUCUCAAAAAUUUCACUGGGCCAACAUCAAUUCUGGCAGCAGGAUAAAUCAUUAAGAAUGUAGCUACUUCGGUAGUGUUAUAGCUUUUUGGAAUACUGUUAGCCGGGAUUGAGGACUGCGCUUCGGCAAGGAUGUUGGCAUAAUGGUUAAAUGCCGCCCGUCUUGACCACACCGAAACA
rnacentral:rRNA from 1 species